rnacentral:snRNA from 1 species
GUGCUUGCUUCAGCAUCACAUACACUAGAAUUGGAAUGAUACAGAGAAGACUAGAAUGGCCCCUGUACAAGGAUGAUACACAAAUUUGUGAAGUGUUCCAUAUUUUU